rnacentral:rRNA from 1 species
UACGGAGGGUGCAAGCGUUAUCCGGAUUCACUGGGUUUAAAGGGUGCGUAGGUGGAUUGGUAAGUCAGUGGUGAAAUCUCCGGGCUUAACCCGGAAACUGCCAUUGAUACUAUCAGUCUUGAAUACCGUGGAGGUCAGUAGAAUAUGUCAUGUAGCGGUGAAAUGCUUAGAUAUGACAUAGAAUACCAAUUGCGAAGGCAGCUGGCCACACGAAUAUUGACACUCAGGCACGAAAGCGUGGGGAUCAAACAGG